rnacentral:rRNA from 1 species
GACGAACGCUGGCGGCGUGCUUAACACAUGCAAGUCGAACGGAAAGGCCCUGCUUUUGUGGGGUGCUCGAGUGGCGAACGGGUGAGUAACACGUGAGUAACCUGUCCUUGACUUUGGGAUAACUUCAGGAAACUGGGGCUAAUACCGGAUAGGAGCUCCUGCUGCAUGGUGGGGGUUGGAAAGUUUCGGCGGUUGGGGAUGGACUCGCGGCUUAUCAGCUUGUUGGUGGGGUAGUGGCUUACCAAGGCUUUGACGGGUAGCCGGCCUGAGAGGGUGACCGGCCACAUUGGGACUGAGAUACGGCCCAGACUACUACGGGAGGCAGCGGUGGAGAAUAUUGCACAAUGGGAGGAAGCAUGAUGCAGCCACGCAGCGUGCGGGAUGACGGCCUUCGGGUUGUAUACCACUUUCGCCUGUGACGAAGCGUGAGUGACGGUAAUGGGUAAAGAAGCACCGGCUAACUACGUG